rnacentral:pre_miRNA from 1 species
GCUUUACAAGGGAGAGUAGAUUAUGUUACCCUUAUGCUAAUUGCACUCCCUUGUGGGGCUU